rnacentral:rRNA from 1 species
GCACUUCGGGAUAAGCUUGGGAAACUGGGUCUAAUACCGGAUAGGACUACGGCCUGCAUGGAUUGUGGUGGAAAGCUUUUGCGGUGUGGGAUGGGCCCGCGGCCUAUCAGCUUGUUGGUGGGGUGAUGGCCUACCAAGGCGACGACGGGUAGCCGGCCUGAGAGGGUGUCCGGCCACACUGGGACUGAGAUACGGCCCAGACUCCUACGGGAGGCAGCAGUGGGGAAUAUUGCACAAUGGGCGCAAGCCUGAUGCAGCGACGCCGCGUGAGGGAUGGCGGCCUUCGGGUUGUAAACCUCUUUCAGUGCCGACGAAGCGUAAGUGACGGUAGGCAUAGAAGAAGCACCGGCCAACUACGUGCCAGCAGCCGCGGUAAUACGUAGGGUGCAAGCGUUGUCCGGAAUUACUGGGCGUAAAGAGCUCGUAGGUGGUUUGUCGCGUUGUUCGUGAAAACUCACAGCUCAACUGUGGGCGUGCGGGCGAUACGGGCAGACUUGAGUACUGCAGGGGAGACUGGAAUUCCUGGUGUAGCGGUGGAAUGCGCAGAUAUCAGGAGGAACACCGGUGGCGAAGGCGGGUCUCUGGGCAGUAACUGACGCUGAGGAGCGAAAGCGUGGGGAGCGAACAGGAUUAGAUACCCUGGUAGUCCACGCCGUAAACGGUGGGUACUAGGUGUGGGUUUCCUU